GCCGCCGCGGUAAUACAGAGGUCUCAAGCGUUGUUCGGAAUCACUGGGCGUAAAGGGUACGUAGGCUGCCGGAUAAGUCGUGCGUGAAAGGCAGGGGCUCAACCUCUGGAGUGCGCAUGAUACUGUUUGGCUGGAGUAAUGGAGGGGGAACCGGAAUUCUUGGUGUAGCAGUGAAAUGCGUAGAUAUCAAGAAGAAGACUCGUGGCGAAGGCGGGUUCCUGGACAUUUACUGACGCUGAGGUACGAAGGCUAGGGUAGCGAAAGGGAUUAGAUACCCC
rnacentral:rRNA from 1 species